rnacentral:rRNA from 1 species
GACGAACGCUGGCGGCGUGCCUAAUACAUGCAAGUUGAGCGCUGAAGGUUGGUACUUGUACCAACUGGAUGAGCAGCGAACGGGUGAGUAACGCGUGGGGAAUCUGCCUUUGAGCGGGGGACAACAUUUGGAAACGAAUGCUAAUACCGCAUAAAAACUUUAAACACAAGUUUUAAGUUUGAAAGAUGCAAUUGCAUCACUCAAAGAUGAUCCCGCGUUGUAUUAGCUAGUUGGUGAGGUAAAGGCUCACGAAGGCGAUGAUACAUAGCCGACCUGAGAGGGUGAUCGGCCACAUUGGGACUGAGACACGGCCCAAACUCCUUCGGGAGGCAGCAGAAGGGAAUCUUCGGCAAGGGACGAAAGUCUGAGCGAGCAACGCCGCGUGAGUGAAGAAGGUUUUCGGAUCGUAAAACUCUGUUGGUAGAGAAGAACGUUGGUGAGAGUGGAAAGCUCAUCAAGUGACGGUAACUACACAGAAAGGGACGGCUAACUACGUG